GACGAACGCUGGCGGCGUGCUUAACACAUGCAAGUCGAACGGCAAGGCCCUGCUUUUGUGGGGUGCUCGAGUGGCGAACGGGUGCGUAACACGUGAGUAACCUGCCCUUGACUUUGGGAUAACUUCAGGAAACUGGGGCUACUACCGGAUAGGAGCUCCCGUUGCAUGGAGGGGGUUGGAAAGUUUCGGCGGUUGGGGAUGGACUCGCGGCUUAUCAGCUUGUUGGUGGGGUAGUGGCAUACCAAGGCUUUGACGGGUAGCCGGCCUGGGAGGGUGGCCGGCCACAAUAGGACUGAGGGACGGCCCAGUGUCCAACGUGGGGCAGCAGUGGGGAAUAUGGCACAACGGGCGGAAGCCGGAGGCAGCGGCGCCGCGUGUGUGAUGACGGCCUUCGGGGUGUAAACCGCUUUCGCCUAUGACGAAGCGGGAGUGACGGUAAUGGGUAAAGAAGCACCGGCUAACUACGUG
rnacentral:rRNA from 1 species